CCUACGGGCGGCAGCAGUGAGGAAUAUUGGUCAAUGGACGAGAGUCUGAACCAGCCAAGUAGCGUGAAGGAUGACUGCCCUAUGGGUUGUAAACUUCUUUUAUAAAGGAAUAAAACGAGGCACGUGUGCCUUUUUGCAUGUACUUUAUGAAUAAGGAUCGGCUAACUCCGUGCCAGCAGCCGCGGUAAUACGGAGGAUCCGAGCGUUAUCCGGAUUUAUUGGGUUUAAAGGGAGCGUAGAUGGGUUGUUAAGUCAGUUGUGAAAGUUUGCGGCUCAAACGUAAAAUUGCAAGUGAUACUGGCAGUCUUGAGUACAGUUGAGGUAGGCGGAAUUCGUGGUGUAGCGGUGAAAGGCUUAGAUAUCACGAAGAACCCCGAUUGCGAAGGCAGCUUACUAAACUGUGACUGACAUUGAUGCUCGAAAGUGUGGGUAUCAAACAGGAUUAGAUACCCGUGUAGUC
rnacentral:rRNA from 1 species